rnacentral:lncRNA from 1 species
AGCGGAUGCAGCCCCGCAAGGUGACCUGACAGGCCUUUGGGAAUGCUCCAGAAGAAAAGGUUCACUUGAAUUCAAUAAGGAAACCAAGGAAUUGCUCAGAAGAAUAUUUCAGUCCUGAUAUUUGCUGUAACUAAUAAUUACUGGAUAAACAGAGAAGACACAUGGAGGAUAUUUUACCUGGGUCCAACAAAACCAUAGCAACAGCAGCAAGUUGAAAAGAGCAAAAAAAAAAAAAAGAGAGAGACCGAAGUACAAUUACAAUCCCAUCCCACAAAAAGGUCAAGGGCUACCUGAAAGACCGGUGGCCCCAGGAUCCUCAAAGCAUCCAAACCAUCCCUAUACUCUCAGAGACAAAAUCUGACCUUCUCCCCC